CCCCUGACAACGAAUAAAUUGACAGUUCAGUAGAGUACUCAGUAACAAGCAAUUCCUCCGCUAGAUGUCUUCUAAAUAUAGGUACUUAAAAAAAUUCACAAUUUUUGGUUUCAUAGUCACAAAAAAAUACUUGUUGCAAAUAUGUUCGUUUUUGUUUCUGCAAGUGUAAAUGGAGUCAAUGUCAAGUGUUCCAUGGCUAUAAGGAUAGGAGUUAACAAUAGAAUGGGCAACAUUACCAACCAAUCACCAGACAAGGAAAAAAAUACUCUUCGAAGCAACUACAAAGCUACAUGGCUGCCAAUAUGUACUGCUCCUAUUUGUGAUAACAAUGUAUGAAAGUGAUGAAGAUGGAAUUUUCUGUCCUACUUGUUUCUGUCAUAGACUGUGGGGUCCACCGUUACAAAACUCUACAUCAUCAACAAUCGUUUCUCACUGCUCAGAACCUGCAAAUGUCGUGAAUGAAAAAAUUUUAAUUAAAAAUAAUUUAAAAUAGUUGUAACACCAAGCAUUAUUAAACAACUUGCCUAACUAAGGAAACCGCUGG